rnacentral:tRNA from 1 species
GGCCGGUUAAUGCAGAUGGUCAGAGCGUGGUGCUAAUAACGCCAAGGUCAUGGGUUCAAGCCCCAUACUGGCCA